CCUACGGGCGGCAUCAGUGAGGAAUAUUGGUCAAUGGACGAGAGUCUGAACCAGCCAAGUAGCGUGAAGGAUGACUGCCCUAUGGGUUGUAAACUUCUUUUAUAUGGGAAUAAAAUGUUCCACGUGUGGGAUUUUGUAUGUACCAUAUGAAUAAGGAUCGGCUAACUCCGUGCCAGCAGCCGCGGUAAUACGGAGGAUCCGAGCGUUAUCCGGAUUUAUUGGGUUUAAAGGGAGCGUAGGUGGAUUGUUAAGUCAGUUGUGAAAGUUUGCGGCUCAACCGUAAAAUUGCAGUUGAAACUGGCAGUCUGGAGUACAGUAGAGGUGGGCGGAAUUCGUGGUGUAGCGGUGAAAUGCUUAGAUAUCACGAAGAACUCCGAUUGCGAAGGCAGCUCACUGGACUGCAACUGACACUGAGGCUCGAAAGUGUGGGUAUCAAACAGGAUUAGAUACCCCUGUAGUC
rnacentral:rRNA from 1 species